rnacentral:lncRNA from 1 species
GUAGGGAAUAGGGUGGUUAUGGGCUCUGGUCUAAAGUAGUGCACUAUGUAGGGAAUAGGGUGGUUAUGGGUUCUGGUCUAAAGUAGUGCACUAUGUGAGAAUAGGGUGGUUAUGGGCCCUGGUCUAAAGUAGUGCACUAGGUAGGGAAUAGGGUGGUUAUGGGCUCUGGUCUAAAGUAGUGCACUAUGUAGGGAAUAGGGUGGUUAUGGGCUCUGGUCUAAAGUAGUGCACUAUGUAGGGAAUAGGGUGGUUAUGGGCACUGGUCUAAAGUAGUGCACUAUGUAGGGAAUAGGGUGGUUAAGGGCUCUGGUCUAAAGUAGUGCACUAUGUAGGGAAUAUGGUGGUUAUGGGACUUGGUAUAAAAUAGUGCACUAGGUAGGGAAUAGGGUGGUUAUGGGCCCUGGUCUAAAGUAGUGCACUAGGUAGGGAAUAGGGUGGUUAUGGGGCCUGGUCUAAAGUAGUGCACUAGGUAGGGAAUAGGGUGGUUAUGGUCCUGGUCUAAAGUAGUGCACUAGGUAGGGAGUAGGGAAUAGGGUUCCAUUUGAGACACGGACUUGAUUUAUUAUCAAUUCUGCUGCAAGAAGAAUAUACAGGAGCUUUAAUUCCCAUGGACAAGUGAGCUGAUAUUACUUACAGUGCUGUUGACGUAGGAAAGGCACUAUGGUAUACAGUUGAAGUCGGAAGUUUACAUACAUCUUAACCAAUUCCUGACAUUUAAUCCUAGUACAAAUUCCCUGUUUUAGGUCAGUUAGGAUCACCACUUUAUUUUAAGAAAGUGAAAUGUCAGAAUAAUAGUAGAGAGAAUUAUUUAUUUCAGCUUUUAUUUCUUUCAUCACAUUCCCAGUGGGUCAGAAGUUUACAUACACUCAAUUAACAUUUGGUAGCAUUGUCUUUAAAUUGUUUAACUUGGGUCAAACGUUUCGGGUAGCCUUCCACGAGCUUCUCACAAUAGUUGGGUGAAUUUUGGCCCAUUCCUCCUGACAGAGCUGGUUUAACUGAGUCAGGUUUGUAGGCCUCCUUGCUCGCACACGCUUUUUCAGUUCUGCCCACACAUUUUCUACAGGAUUGAGGUCCGGGCUUUGUGAUGGCCACUCCAAUACCUUGACUUUGUUGUCCUUAAGCCAUUUUGCCACAACUUUGGAAGUAUGCUUGGGGUCAUUGUCCAUUUGGAAGACCCAUUUGUGACCAAGCUUUAACUUCCUGACUGAUGUCUUGAGAUGUUGCUUCAAUAUAUCCACAUCAUUUUCCUACCUCUUGAUGC